CAGAUGAAGAAAGAUGCUUGGUUACCAACUGUAUUAGGGUUGUCUUGAGAAUCAGAACCAGUGAGAGAGAUUUAUUGUGAUAAUUGGCUCAUGUAAUUAUGGAGGUGAGAAGUCCCAUGACCUGUCAUCUGCAACCUAGAGAACCCAAUAGAAUUCAGUCUAAGUCCAAAGUUCUAAGAACCAGGGAAGCUGACUGUGUAACUCCUAGUUGAGUGUGAAGACCUGAGGUAUCAGGGGUAGGGGUUGCUCUGCUUGUGUAAGUCCCAUAGUGUGAAGGCCAGAGAACCAAGAGAUGGUCAAGAAGAGAGAGUAAGUGUCCAAUGUCCCAGCUCAAGAAGAGAGAAAACUUUUGUGGAUAGCUAAGUUACUGCUAGCCAUCUGAUUAUAGCAAUGGCUUCCAGGAGCAUCACGACCUGUGCAGACUCCCCAGCAUCAUAACAGGAAGGUCCCACGAUCACGAGCACAUUGCCUUCAGCAUCCAGCACUGAAUAUGGUGAAUUGCACUCUGAAGAGCUUCCUAAGCUUGUAAGAAAGUGAUUCUGAAAAGCUCAACAUUUUGGUAGAAUGGAGAGAUUUGACAUUGCUUCUGCUCCAAAAGCAAAAGACUUGGGAAGGGCACCCUGGGAGUUGAGAACAUCCACCACAGAGAGGCCUGGCGUAAAGGAGAUGGGACUCACACCCAAGAGGAUGCAUUUCCAUACACCCAUUUCUGAAAUAUGAAGAGGUGUCCAGUCUGUUUGAUUCAUAGCUGCCUGUUCCACAACUGCAGAUACAGUAAUUGAUAACCGAGACCAAGUUCUCAUCCCCAUCUCCCAGGGCUGGAACUGGGGCUGUGUUUGGUUCUCAUAAGAUCAGUUCCAGUUUUAGAAACUGAGUAAAUUGUGGAGUAAAUAUUGCCAAGUGAUGGCUUUCUGCUGUAGGCGUGGGUCGCUGUUGGCCAUUUGCCUCAGCAUAUCACCAGCAAUGCACCUCAUUGCAUCACUGCAUUUCCAAUUACACCUCAAAGCACCACUGGUCCCCUGUCCACCCUCUGCCCUGCAGAGGUGGGUGUUCAGGGAGACAGAUCCAAAAUCUGGGCUCAGAAGAUGGAAAUGCCAACUGCUCUCAAUUUGAGAGUGGGGAUGAGACUUUUUGACUCAACUCUGGUUAAUUCAGCCAUGCUGUCAGAGCUGCUUUGAUGCAAGGACAUCUGAAUGCUAUCUGAAUGCUGCCCCUAAAAUAACAAAUUAAA
rnacentral:lncRNA from 10 species